UCAAGUAGCUCAAUCAGUAGAGUAUGGGAUUCUUAAUCUCAAGGUCAUGGGUUCAAGCCCCACAUUGAAGAA